rnacentral:tRNA from 1 species
CUGGGUGGUGCAAACAGUCGAUGCACUUGGUUGCUAACCAAGAGGCUGGAGGUUCAAUUCCACCCAGA